GGUGAGUUAAAACCCACGUCCACCGACGCGUUUCGGACCGCUUGUACCAUUAAAGGUUAAAUUUUAUCCACUGUGGAGCUGGAGUUCCCUCUUCCCCAUUUCUCCUACUUGGAUCAGUUGGUUCACCGAGGAUAUGGCUCGGCUUUCCGCUCUCGUGCUCCCUGCAGAUGUAUCUCCUUGACCUAAUGGCACCCAUGGUGAGCUGGAGUCUCUCUUUUUUUGUUAUACUAUUUUUUUCACUUAAAACAUGUGCUGUAUAAGAAUGACUAUCUGUCUCUUAGCUCUUAUUUCUUUUAUUUCCUCAUAUCUGUAUAGCACCAACAUAUUGUGCAACACUGCGCAGAUUGUUGACAUACACAUCAGUGCAUGUGCCAGUUGAGACUUGUGAUCUAUACAAACUGCACCAGAUGUUGUCCUUGGUUGGAUUCAACUCCAGGACCCCAGUACUGUAACAUUGACAUUACUUAUUCUCUAGCCAUGUUUCAAGGCUUUAUUAUGAUCAGAUAGAAACUAGAGAGAAAAUUCUCCUUCUGGGGAUUAGCUAUUUUGCAGAUUCUUAUUGAGACCUAUCUGGCAUUCAGAAGCAAAAUCUUCACUUCAGCCUCUUUGCAUUGUAGUUUGUACUGUUGUGCCGAGUAGAUUAGAUAGAUUUAAAGAAAAAUUCUAGAUACAUUUUUAUGAUUAAUAAAAUCUUGAAUACUUUAUUGUUUCAUCUGUUUAGCCUCAAGAAGCGCAUGAAACACGUGAAGUAGCUACUGCUGUCCCUGUCUUCACUACCUUACUAUGUCUGCUAAACCGAACUGAUUUUAAAGAUGAAACACUAAAGUAUUCAAGAUUUUAUCUACUAAAACUGGAUACUCUACUGGCCAGAGGGUUCCCCUGAGAGACAAGUAGAAAUGAAGUACCGUAGGUCAAAAUAAAAUUGCUGUACAGUAUGACAAUGUCUAUUGAGUUCUGGGGAGGAGUUUGGCUACCAAAGGGCCCCAAGAGCCAUGGCAUUGGGUAGAUAGCCUCCGGCAGCCCAAUCCAUGAAUCUAUGUAUAUUGAUAUGUAUAUUGUUGUCUUGAAUGUAUUCAGAAAGCAGUUGCAAAGUCAAAUUAACCCAAUAUAUUCAAAGAGCAUGUAUGGACAUUCACCAUGCCACAUGGACUCAUCCUUAUCUUGUUUCGUAAUCCAGACCUGAGAAGGACAUUGUGCAUAAAUGCCCCCAGGAACUGUCAAUGGGGCCCCAGUGGCCACUUCAGUCCUCGACACUCCAGGAAUGGACGUCGAGGACGACUUUAACUAAGAGGGGGAGUUUGUGGUGGCCCAGUACGGGAGGUGUUACCCCUUACCCCUGUCAUCUGGCAAGUCAGCAUGGCCUGCACAAAAUUGUCCAGUCCUACUACAAGUCACAGCAAGCCCUUAAGGUCUCUGAGUCACUAGUCACCUCCUUGGGCCCUGACUGAACUGUAUAGACUUUGACGCCAAGUUAUGGGCAACAGUAGCUUUACUGAGGGUAGACAGAUGGCCGAGUCUUUAUUGCCCCCGCGCCUAGCCCAGAAUCCAGCGGUAUACCUUCGGGUAGUGUUGAGGAUAAACCACACCCUGGCAUCACGAAUACAAGGGUUUAAUGCCAUCUGCCCUGCAUCACACCCUCUACCACAGACAACUCUGUGAAUGUCCUUGAGUAGUCCAGCCAGAGCCUUGACUUGAACCCAAUGAAUCAUCUCUGAAGAAACCUAAAAAUGGCUUCCAUUGAUGUCCCCAUCCAACCUGACAGAACACGAGACAAUCUGCAGAGAAGAAUGGCAGAAAUGUAUUAAUCAUAACCAAGAAACCUUGCGGGUGGAAUUUUUAUUCUUUAAUAAAUUAGCAAAGACUUGUAACAUUCUGCCACAACAAAACAAAAUGUGAAAAAAAGAAAAUGAAAGGGUCUGAAAAGUUUCCGAAUGUACUGCACAUAUAGACCAUGUUUCACACCUACGUGUUUGAAUAUAUGCUGCUAUCUUGCAGUCAGUGAAUGUACAUCUAUCGAGUUUAGGUUGUGUGAUGUGCGGAUAUGUUACGGUUUGAAGAAACAUCUUGAUUAUUUCUGUGUUUCUUCAUCAAAGGCAAGCGCUGAACUUUGCUACGUCUUCAGGCAGGAAAUGUGCCGGGCCUUGUGCAACCACAUGGAGGAUUUCACCUGCUGCACAGAUGUUCCCAGGAAAGCCUCACAAUGAGUUCUGAGGAAUAUUGAUUACUGGCGGAGUUCUCAUUAAUCAUGUUCUGUAUAAUUGUUCAAUGAUGUUUCUGCAUUCCUCCCCCACCACAAAGAUGUAGAUUCAGAGACCCCUGCCUUGUCCUAUUAGCCCUAUAAUGUCCACAUGCACCUGGCUGUUCAAAUCAAGGACUGAGUCCUUCACAACGACAGAUUGGCAUGGGUCUACAGAACGCCAGAUACUCUAGAGUAGU